AUACUUACCUGGCAUGGGAGUGACCAUGGUCUUGAAGGUGGUACUCCAGGAGGAGGCUAGCCCAUUGCACUUCAGGUGUGCUGACGCCUGCAAUGUCCCCAAAUGCAGGAUACUCGACUGCAAAAUUUGUGGUAGUGGAGGACUGCGUUCACGCUGUCCCCUG